UACUAAUCAAUUACUAUCAGAUGCUAGACUUCUUCAGCUGCCCCAUAUGUGAGGAGCACAGUUUCUCACAAUACCCUGUCUUGAUUUCAGUGCUGUAUCUCUUUCCAGGGGCUGAGGAGAGGCAAGGUAAAGCAGGACACCUCAUUCAGCCCCAGUUUCACUAAAUGCAGAAGACAAAUAACUGUUGACCUGAUGUUACCCACGCACAAAAACUGGAAAACUCGAGCGAUAUUGCUGUCUAGCAGAUUUAUUCCUACCUGGCACUACUGCUUAGAAAAUGCCUAAUUAACAGACAGUUAAACCAGCAGAGUGAAACAUGGCAAUUUGUGUGUAACAAGCACACAAACAGCAAGCCAAGGUAGGGCUGCUGGGUGUAGCAGGGCCACGACUGCAAUAACUGACUAUAAAUGCUCUUGAUGGAAGAGGACAGCAGACAAGAAGCUUUUAAGCCAAGGCAAAGAACAGAACCAGAAGCAAAGACUGCAGGCUAAUCAGCCCAGCAAUUAGUCUAAGUAGCAUCAAAUCUCUAUUUGAAAUCCCUCCUGUAGUACCACUUGGAGACCACUAUUUUCCACUUUCUGGCACUGUGGGGUUUCUGCAUGCUAUUAUGUUGUCUGUGCCUCCAACUCUGGAAAUGGCUGCAUUUCAGUAACAACUCAAACACCCCCAAGUGUCAUUUAAGAAGCUUGAAGACCAUUUGCCUGAAAUGAAAAGGCCUUGACAAACAGUAGAUGUUGCUUUGACCUCCAACCCAUCCUUGGCCACACAACCUCCCAGUCCACUUUUCUCUUCUCUGUAACACCCAGCAGCAGGAUCCAGCACUUAAUACCCUGACAGAAGAAGAAAGCAGAAAUCUUUCCCCCAGGAGUGGGGUCUGUGCCUGGUAAAUACAUAGAGGAGUCUCAGUCAGGCCCUUGCCUGCCAUGGAAGCCUGUCUGGGAGAAAGGGGUGAAAGCCAGAACCUUGAAAUCCUUUCACUGCAGGAAUUUUGGCCUGUGGGUACAGUUGGCUGCCUCGAGGCAGUGCACCUUGCACACAGCUGAGGAUCAGCUGCAUAAUGUCUGUAGGCGAGUACAUGAAGCAGGGAGAGAGGGAGAGUUUACUGCUUUAGCUUGACACACACUUGGAGAACUGCAGAUUCCAACUUAUCUCCCACUUUGAACCCCAGGGACUUUCAAUUCCUGACCCAGAACCAGACUUCAGGAUUUGCUCCCAGC